GCAGGCUCUUCGCAUGGCGAUGAACCGACGACGUAGUAAUGUAGCUCGCCACCAGCACUAAAACAACACGCACAAACAGAUAUUUCUUCCAAGCAACUUGAAUCGUACGAGCAGCUCUUGUCUCUUCUCUUAGAUCCAGCAACCGAGCACAGAGGUAUGACGUGAAUCGUGUUUGACAUGUCUGCAAAUUUGGCCAUCAGUGGAAUACCUCCAAGAGCUUGAACCUGCAGAAGAUAAAGAUUUGUUAUUGGAAUUGAAGAAUAUAUGGUCAGGAUUAAUUAAAGUUCUAUCUAGA